rnacentral:rRNA from 1 species
AUUCCAGCUCCAAUAGCGUAUAUUAAAAUUGUUGCGGUUAAAACGCUCGUAGUUGGAUAUUUGUUGAGAACUGCCGGUCUACCCCAGUGGUCAGCACACGGUUUGUUCUCGGCACUCUCCUGGGGAGAGUGUUUGCACUUCACUGUGCGGCACAUGAUCCAGAACUUUUACUUUGAGGAAAUGAGAGUGUUUCAAGCAGGCGCCUGUCGUGAAUACGUUAGCAUGGAAUAAUAGCAUGGGACCGCGGUCUGAAGCUGUUGGUUUUUGGGCCGUGGUAAUAAAAAUAGGGAUAGUUGGGGGUAUUCGUAUUUAACUGUCAGAGGUGAAAUUCUUGGAUUUUUUAAAGACGGACUACUGCGAAAGCAUCUGCCCAGGAUGUUUUCAUUA